GUGGGGAAUCUUCCGCAAUGGACGAAAGUCUGACGGAGCAACGCCGCGUGAGUGAAGAAGGUUUUCGGAUCGUAAAGCUCUUUCGUUAGGGACGAACGUGCUCUUUGUGAAUAAUGAGGAGUAAUGACGGUACCUAAAUAAGAAGCCACGGCUAACUACGUGCCAGCAGCCGCGGUAAUACGUAGGUGGUAAGCGUUGUCCGGAAUUAUUGGGCGUAAAGCGCGCGCAGGCGGGAUAUCAAGUCUGUCUUAAAAGUGCGAGGCUCAACCUCGUGAGGGGACAGAAACUGGUAUUCUUGAGUGUCGGAGAGGAAAGUGGAAUUCCAAGUGUAGCGGUGAAAUGCGUAGAGAUUUGGAAGAACACCAGUGGCGAAGGCGACUUUCUGGACGAUGUCUGACGCUGAGGCGCGAAAGCUAGGGGAGCGAACGGGAUUAGAAACCCCAGUAGUCC
rnacentral:rRNA from 1 species